rnacentral:rRNA from 1 species
AGUGAACGCUGGCGGUAGGCCUAACACGUGCAAGUCGAACGGCAGCACAGUAAGAGCUUGCUCUUACGGGUGGCGAGUGGCGGACGGGUGAGGAAUACAUCGGAAUCUACUUUUUCGUGGGGGAUAACGUAGGGAAACUUACGCUAAUACCGCAUACGACCUACGGGUGAAAGCAGGGGAUCUUCGGACCUUGCGCGAUUGAAUGAGCCGAUGUCGGAUUAGCUAGUUGGCGGGGUAAAGGCCCACCAAGGCGACGAUCCGUAGCUGGUCUGAGAGGAUGAUCAGCCACACUGGAACUGAGACACGGUCCAGACUCCUACGGGAGGCAGCAGUGGGGAAUAUUGGGCAAUGGGCGCAAGCCUGAUCCAGCCAUACCGCGUGGGUGAAGAAGGCCUUCGGGUUGUAAAGCCCUUUUGUUGGGAAAGAAAAGCAGCAGGUUAAUACCCCGCUGUUCUGACGGUACCCAAAGAAUAAGCACCGGCUAACUUCGUG